UUUUCUUCGCCUUCCUUGCUCACCUAUAUCUGCAGGUUUCGUACUGACGCCAUCAACGUUGCUGUUCUGCCCAGCUUUCAAUUUAUCGUGACUGAGUGUGCAGUACCCUCUCCUCGCUGAUUGAUACAUUCGCGGUAGGAAAGGAAGUAAGAGAGAGAGAGAGAGAGAGAACAUACCGCGCGCAGUGCACGAGAAG
rnacentral:ribozyme from 1 species